rnacentral:rRNA from 1 species
UACGUAGGUGGCAAGCGUUGUCCGGAUUUACUGGGCGUAAAGCGAACGCAGGCGGAUCUUUAAGUAGGAAGUGAAAGGUUGGAGCUCAACUCUAACACUGCUCCCUAUACUGGAGAUCUUGAGUGCCGGAGAGGAAAACGGAACAAGUUGUGUAGCGGUGAAAUGCGUUGAUAUAACUUGGAACACCAAUGGCGAAAGCAGUUUUCUGGACGGAUACUGACGUCUCAUGUUCGAAAGCCAAGGUAGCAAACAGGAUU